rnacentral:rRNA from 1 species
AGAGUUUGAUCAUGGCUCAGGAUGAACGCUAGCGACAGGCCUAACACAUGCAAGUCGAGGGGCAUCGGGACGUAGCAAUACGUUGCCGGCGACCGGCGGAUGGGUGAGUAACGCGUAUGCAACCUACCCGCAGCAGGGGGAUAGCCCGUUGAAAGACGGAUUAAUACCCCGUAACACAGGGGCUCCGCAUGGAGAUUAUUGUUAAAGGGUCAUUUCUUUUUCAGGGAUGGUCCGGCUGCGGAUGGGCAUGCGUUCCAUUAGGUAGUUGGUGUAGGUAAUGGCUCACCAAGCCGACGAUGGAUAGGGGAACUGAGAGGUUGGUCCCCCACACUGGUACUGAGACACGGACCAGACUCCUACGGGAGGCAGCAGUGAGGAAUUUUGGUCAAUGGACGCAAGUCUGAACCAGCCAUGUCGCGUGAAGGAGGACGGCCCUAAGGGUUGUAAACUUCUUUUGCAGUGGAAUAAAGUUUGCCACGUGUUGGCGAUUUGCAAGUACGCUGCGAAUAAGGAUCGGCUAACUCCGUGCCAGCAGCCGCGGUAAUACGGAGGAUCCGGGCGUUAUCCGGAUUUAUUGGGUUUAAAGGGUGCGCAGGCGGGGAAUUAGGUCGGCGGUGAAAUUUCGGGGCUCAACCUCGACAGUGCCGUUGAAACCGUUUCUCUUGAGUGCGGAUGAGGUAGGCGGAAUUUGUGGUGUAGCGGUGAAAUGCGUAGAUAUCACAAGGAACACCGAUUGCGGAGGCAGCUUACUAACCGUUACUGACGCUCAUGCACGAAGGCGUGGGGAUCAACAGGAUUAGAUACCUGGUAGUCCACGCAGUAAACGAUGAUUACUUGCUGUUUGCGAUACACAGUAAGCGGCGAAACGAAGCGUUCAGUAUCCACCUGGGA